rnacentral:tRNA from 1 species
GGCUCGUUGGUCUAGGGGUAUGACUCUCGCAUCGGAUGCGAGAGGUCCCGGGUUCAAACCCCGGACGAGCCC